rnacentral:rRNA from 1 species
GACAGAGGGUGCAAACGUUGUUCGGAAUUACUGGGCGUAAAGCGCGUGUAGGCGGUCCGAUAAGUCGGGUGUGAAAGCCCUGGGCUCAACCCAGGAAGUGCACUCGAAACUGCCGGGCUAGAGUAUCGGAGAGGUUGGUGGAAUUCUCGGUGUAGAGGUGAAAUUCGUAGAUAUCAGGAGGAACACCGGUGGCGAAGGCGGGUCUCUGGGCAACAACUGACGCUGAGGAGCGAAAGCGUGGGGAGCGAACAGG